AGCAGUUUGGUUUGGUUCGAUUUCUAAACUCAUGGAAUCGAAAAUUUUCGUUUCAACUAGAAAAAAUAUGAAAUAUUAAAUGGAACUAUCGGUCACUGGUGGCUCUUACAUCAAGCCAAAACUUUUUUUUUUUAAGAGAGAGAGAAAGGUAGCAUGUUAUCCGCUUUUUUUAUUUCAUCAUUUGCCACUUGCGCUAGAAACAGUCGGUAAUCUUUAAAAAAAAAAAAAAA
rnacentral:lncRNA from 1 species